rnacentral:rRNA from 1 species
UACGUAGGGGGCAAGCGUUGUCCGGAUUUAUUGGGCGUAAAGAGCGUGUAGGCGGCCUGGUAGGUCAGCUGUGAAAACUCGAGGCUCAACCUCGAGACGCCGGUUGAAACCAUCAGGCUAGAGUCCGGAAGAGGAGAGUGGAAUUCCCGGUGUAGCGGUGAAAUGCGCAGAUAUCGGGAAGAACACCCGUGGCUAAGGCGGCUCUCUAGUACGGUACUGACGCUGAGACGUGAAAGCGUGGGGAGCGAACAGG